rnacentral:rRNA from 1 species
CACGUAGGGGCCAAGCGUUGUCCGGAUUCAUUGGGCGUAAAGAGCUCGUAGGCGGUUCAGUCAGUCGGGUGUGAAAUCUCCGGGCUCAACCCGGAGGGGCCACCCGAUACUGCUGUGACUCGAGUCCGGUAGGGGAGUGGGGAAUUCCUGGUGUAGCGGUGAAAUGACGCAGAUAUCAGGAGGAACACCGGUGGCGAAGGCGCCACUCUGGGCCGGUACUGACGCUGAGGAGCGAAAGCGUGGGUAGCAAACAGG